ACAAGCGGUGGAUGAUGUGGAUUAAUUCGAUGCAACGCGAAAACCUUACCUACCCUUGACAUGUCCGGAAUCCCGAAGAGAUUUGGGAGUGCUCGCAAGAGAACCGGAACACAGGUGCUGCAUGGCUGUCGUCAGCUCGUGUCGUGAGAUGUUGGGUUAAGUCCCGCAACGAGCGCAACCCUUGUCAUUAGUUGCCAUCAUUUGGUUGGGCACUCUAAUGAGACUGCCGGUGACAAACCCGGAGGAAGGUGGGGAUGACGUCAAGUCCUCAUGGCCCUUAUGGGUAGGGCUUCACACGUCAUACAAUGGUCGGUACAGAGGGUUGCCAACCCGCGAGGGGGAGCUAAUCCCACAAAGCCGAUCGUAGUCCGGAUCGCAGUCUGCAACUCGACUGCGUGAAGUCGGAAUCGCUAGUAAUCGUGGAUCAGCAUGUCACGGUGAAUACGUUCCCGGGUCUU
rnacentral:rRNA from 1 species